GACGAACGCUGGCGGCGUGCCUAAUACAUGCAAGUCGGGCGGACCGAACGAGGGCUUGCUCUUGUUUGGUCAGCGGCGGACGGGUGAGUAACACGUGGGCAACCUGCCCGCAAGACCGGGAUAACUCCGGGAAACCGGAGCUAAUACCGGAUAACACCGAAGACCGCAUUGUCUUCGGUUGAAAGGCGGCCUUUGGGCUGUCACUUGCGGAUGGGCCCGCGGCGCAUUAGCUAGUUGGUGAGGUAACGGCUCACCAAGGCGACGAUGCGUAGCCGGCCUGAGAGGGUGACCGGCCACACUGGGACUGAGACACGGCCCAGACUCCUACGGGAGGCAGCAGUAGGGAAUCUUCCGCAAUGGGCGAAAGCCUGACGGAGCGACGCCGCGUGAGCGAAGAAGGCCUUCGGGUCGUAAAGCUCUGUUGUGAGGGACGAAGGAGCGCCGUUCGAAGAGGGCGGCGCAGUGACGGUACCUCACGAGAAAGCCCCGGCUAACUACGUG
rnacentral:rRNA from 1 species